AUUGAACGCUGGCGGCAGGCCUAACACAUGCAAGUCGAGCGGAUGAAGGGAGCUUGCUCCUGGAUUCAGCGGCGGACGGGUGAGUAAUGCCUAGGAAUCUGCCUGGUAGUGGGGGAUAACGUCCGGAAACGGGCGCUAAUACCGCAUACGUCCUGAGGGAGAAAGUGGGGGAUCUUCGGACCUCACGCUAUCAGAUGAGCCUAGGUCGGAUUAGCUAGUUGGUGGGGUAAGGGCCUACCAAGGCGACGAUCCGUAGCUGGUCUGAGAGGAUGAUCAGUCACACUGGAACUGAGACACGGUCCAGACUCCUACGGGAGGCAGCAGUGGGGAAUAUUGGACAAUGGGCGAAAGCCUGAUCCAGCCAUGCCGCGUGUGUGAAGAAGGUCUUCGGAUUGUAAAGCACUUUAAGUUGGGAGGAAGGGCAGUAAGUUAAUACCUUGCUGCUUUGACGUUACCAACAGAAUAAGCACCGGCUAACUUCGUG
rnacentral:rRNA from 1 species